GUGCGCCGGCCAACGCCCCUUUUCGUCUACUUACUCGGUUGCCUCGGCGGGCCGCGCUCUCCUGGGAGAGUCGUCCGGCGAGCCUCUUUGGGGGCUUUAGCUGGAUCGCGCCCGCCGGAGGACAGACAUCAAAAAAUCUUGGAAAGCUGCAUCUGAGCGUAGCAAGUAAAAUGAGGUAAAAUUUCCCCCACCGAUUUCUUGCCCCGG
rnacentral:misc_RNA from 1 species